GAGAGAGAGAGAUGGUCUGCACAACGAAAGACACUGAUGCGGUUUGCACCCCAGGCUUUAAUUAACCUGGUUAGGUUCUCUGAGCAUAAUGGUGAAAGAACGUCUUCGUGUUUCCUCGAGGUCGCCAUAACACCGGCUUUUGUGCCAUUUUCGCAUUGAUCGGCGGUGCGAGCUUUGCGCGGUCCUAUUCAUCCGCCUUGCAGUGUGUGAGAGAGGCUGCUGUAGGCGCACAGAGAAGGUCUUCUUCUCCUUCGCUUUUCUUCUUCGUCAUUUAAUCCACUUCAACCGGAGUGUGACCGGAGUAGCCCUAGAUCCGCAGUAGAUCCGCCAUCAUCUUUUACGGAAUAAGUCUCCUCAUUUGCUCUCUCUCUCUCUCUCUCUCUCUCUCUCUCUUCACGUGCAGACACGUUUAUUUCGUUCAGCUUCUCUAUGAAGCUAUUGCGCGCACUGCAAGCGCGCACUGCUGUUCAUUCGUCUGGACGCUUUGGUUGGUUGUGCAUGUGAUUCCCCUUUUUUAUACUCGGAACUGUUCGGGGUUUUUCUUUUUAUUUAAAAAAGAGGACAAAAUGGCACGAAUGAGUGCAGUUCCUCUUUUCUUCUGGCUUUUGGGUAGAUCUCUCGCCGGAUUUCCAAACCAGAUAAAUAUAGGUGGGCUCUUCAUGCGCUCAACGGUGCAAGAACACAGCGCGUUCAGAUUUGCUGUGCAGCUCUACAACACCAACCAGAACAUGAGUGAGAAGCCCUUCCAUCUGAACUACAACGUGGAUAACCUGGAGUCCUCCAACAGCUUCUCCGUCACUCAUGCCUUCUGCUCUCAGUUCUCCAGAGGUGUCUACGCCAUCUUCGGCUUCUAUGACAAGAAGUCCAUGAACACGUUGACCUCCUUCUGUGGUGCCCUCCACACUUCCUUCAUCACACCCAGUUAUCCGAUCGACUCUGACGUCCAGUUUGUCAUCCAGAUGCGCCCGCCCCUAAAGGGGGCCGUCCUUAGUCUCCUGACCUAUUAUAGAUGGGAGAAGUUUGUGUACCUCUACGAUACAGAUAGAGGAUUCUCCAUACUGCAAGCCAUAAUGGAGGCAGCGGUGGCAAACAACUGGCAGGUGACAGCUCGAUCAGUGGGGAGCGUGACAGACCCACAGGAGUAUAGGCGCAUCCUGGAGGAAAUGGACAGAAGGCAGGAGAAGCGCUAUCUCAUUGACUGUGAAGUGGACAGGAUCAACACCAUCUUAGAGCAGGUUGUGACCCUGGGCAAGAACAGCCGAGGCUACCAUUACAUCUUGGCCAAUCUGGGCUUCUCCAACGUGAGCCUGGACAAGGUAUAUGUCGGCGGCGCAAACAUAAGUGGCUUUCAAAUAAUCAAUCCUGAAAACGCUGUCGUGCAGCAGUUCCUUCAGCGCUGGGACCGGUUAGAUGAAAGAGAAUUCCCAGAGGCGAGGAACACACCUCUGAAGUACACCUCUGCGUUGUCGUACGAUGCCAUCCUGGUGAUUGCAGAGGCCUUCCGGUACCUGCGGCGCCAGCGCGUGGAUGUCUCAAGGCGGGGCAGUGCUGGAGAUUGCUUGGCUAAUCCAGCAGUCCCCUGGAGUCAAGGCAUCGACAUUGAGAGGGCUCUCAAAAUGGUCCAAGUGCAAGGGAUGACCGGCAAUAUCCAGUUUGACAGUUUCGGCCGCAGAUCAAACUACACUAUCGACGUUUAUGAGAUGAAAGCAGGCGGGCCAAGAAAGAUCGGGUACUGGAACGAGUUUGAGCGCUUUGUAAAUAUAAUGGAUCAGCCAUACAGCAACGAUUCGUCCUCAGUGGAAAACCGAACAAUUGUGGUCACUACUAUUAUGGAAGCACCGUAUGUGAUGUACAAGAAAAACCAUAUGCAUCUGGAAGGCAAUGAGAAGUAUGAAGGCUACUGUGUCGAUUUAGCUUCUGAGAUAGCCAAACACGUUGGGAUUAAGUACAGACUGUCCAUAGUCAUGGACGGCAAGUAUGGCGCCCGCGACCCUGAGACCAAAACAUGGAACGGGAUGGUGGGUGAACUAGUAUAUGGGAGAGCGGACAUAGCUGUCGCACCACUGACUAUAACGCUGGUUCGAGAAGAAGUGAUCGAUUUCUCUAAGCCCUUCAUGAGCUUGGGUAUUUCUAUUAUGAUCAAGAAACCUCAGAAGUCCAAGCCAGGCGUGUUCUCCUUCCUGGACCCGCUGGCGUAUGAGAUCUGGAUGUGCAUAGUGUUCGCCUACAUCGGUGUGAGUGUGGUGCUGUUCCUCGUGAGCCGCUUCAGUCCGUACGAGUGGCAUCUGGACGAGACAGAUGAAGCCAAAGACCCCCAGACUCCUCCCGACCCGCCUAAUGACUUUGGGAUUUUUAACAGCCUGUGGUUCUCUCUGGGGGCAUUCAUGCAGCAGGGCUGUGAUAUCUCACCAAGGUCCUUAUCGGGAAGAAUAGUGGGAGGUGUCUGGUGGUUCUUCACUCUCAUCAUCAUCUCGUCCUAUACUGCUAACCUGGCUGCCUUCCUCACAGUCGAGAGAAUGGUCUCGCCCAUUGAAAGUGCAGAAGAUCUAGCCAAACAAACUGAGAUUGCCUAUGGAACACUGGACUCAGGUUCUACCAAAGAGUUCUUUAGGCGCUCGAAAAUAGCAGUGUAUGAAAAAAUGUGGUCAUACAUGAAAUCUGCCGAGCCAUCUGUUUUUGCCAAGACCACGCCAGAUGGGGUGGCCCGGGUGCGAAAGUCGAAGGGCAAGUUUGCCUUUCUGUUGGAGUCCACCAUGAAUGAAUACAUCGAGCAGAGGAAGCCAUGCGACACCAUGAAAGUCGGAGGAAAUCUCGACUCUAAAGGCUAUGGUGUGGCGACCCCCAAGGGCUCAGCAUUAAGAAACGCUGUUAACCUGGCAGUUUUAAAACUGAAUGAGCAAGGCCUCUUGGACAAAUUGAAAAACAAAUGGUGGUACGACAAGGGAGAGUGCGGCAGCGGGGGAGGUGACUCCAAGGUCAGCCUCAAUGUCACCAAAAUCGGGUACCAUAGUGCAGAGUAAUCGGCAAGGCUGUUAUUCCUGAACGGAUGCCCCUUAGACAUGGCGCAAGCCACGUGAUUCAUUUCUUUUCUUGCCUUUUCCUGAAACACGGUCCUGAUUCUGAUUGUUCAAAAUAAGAUUAAACUUAGAACCCUGAUUUGGCUAAUGGAGGAGGAAAAGGACCAGUACGAUUUUGUGCUACUGAGGAGAGCUUUUUGAAAGUAGGGACUGAACUGCGCACUGUAUUCGAAUAGGCAAAAUAGUUUUAGAGUUGUUCCAACUAUAUUUAACACUAGUUACAAGUUAGGUCUCAUUUGUUUUUAUCAUCCAACACUAUAAGUGUUAAGUGUGUCCAUUUAUAUAUGUGUGUGUUUGAGGAACCACACGGGUGAAUACACCUGCCCAGCAGUUGGUAAAGGGAGACAGAGGGUUUUGGUCUUCUUUUUCCCUCUGCUGGGCAGCAGCCCCAUGAUUUAAACUCAUUAUAUUUGCGCAUUAUACUUACGUUAUAUUUGAUAUUAUGCAACAGUUUUUUGAGAAUACUCAACAAAAUUCUAAAGCAUUAUGAAGUAAGCAUGCACUGGACAUAAAGGUUCAAUGUACCAGCAUCUCGUGUGUUUUCCAGACCCCAAGCCUGAGAUACGUUAGGCAGUAAAGGAAUGUGCAAGAAUUUGAACCUCAACAUCAGUCACAUGCCCUGAGUGGAUUAAAAAAGACCCUCCUUCUACAUCUGUAACCAUCAGGCAUAACUGCUGCUCCACCCUCUCUAUUAGGAUAAAUGGGAAGAGUGCUGACAUUUCCAACCUUAUAAAGUAACGGAAAAUCACUCACAGAUUAAUUGAGAUUUUAAAAAUCCAUUCCUCAGUUUUUGUAAAGUGUAAUAGGAAAGGUUCUGUUGCCUCAUACUGGAUAUUUACACAUUUUAACAAAUAUGGCUUUAUUUCCCUUCAGGCAAGCAAAUAAUCCCUUUUAUUAAGAUUACUUGUAUAUUUACCUCCUUUUUAGGAUGAUUAGCCCAAACAAUGGACAGACACAACAAGUUAAGUUGAGAAGUUUUGAGAAUCAAUUUUAUUCAGUGAGGCAGUCAGUGAGACAGUCAGUCCGUCAGUCAGUGGGACUUUCAGACAGUCAGUUUAUGAGUUAGACAGUCAGUCAGUGAGACAGUCAGUCCAUCAGUCAGCCAGACAGCAAGACAAUCAGUCAGUGAGACAGUUAGUCAUCAGUCAAUCAGAAGGCCAGUCAGUGUUACAGUCAGUCCAUCAGUCAGUCAGUCAGUGAGCAAGACGGCUAGUCAGUGAGACAGUCAGUCAACCACUGAGUCAGUGAGUCAAAUAUUUUUGAUUUUGUCCAGCAUUAUACUAGUCCAUGGCUGUGCCUGUCAUUGCUUGGGCUUUUCAGAAAUUGUAGCUUUCCUGAAAAUGCGGCCUACGCUCUUAAGGAGUCUCUAAGCUGCUGUAAAUAUUUUUUUCUUUUUUGCUUAUAGCAAAAGAUCAUGGUUUCUGUUACAUACAGGAACACGUCUCAACUUUUUUUUUUUUUUUUACAACCAGAGAAGCCCCAGGCUGUGGGAGAAAGUGACAGUUUGCAUGCACUUUUCCUAAUCACCUCCUCUGUUCCAGCUUUUGUUGCUCUUUUUUCCAGUCUGCAGCGAUUUUGAAGCCCACAUCGGCCAACACACAGUCGGUGAGCCAGCUCUAAUGAGCUUGUGUUGGGAGACGACAGUGGCUCUCCUGGACCAGGCCCCAAAAGCCAGCUGUGAAAAAGGCAAAAAGAAAAGAACUAGGAAAAAAAAAAAAGUUUUUAAGUACACAAGAGAAAGAAGUAGAAAAAAAGCUUGUUAAGUCACCUGUAACAAAGCAACAUCAUGAAUCCAACAGCCCCUUCUCCUCCGUGCCCCUGGCACACACUUGCCAUCACUUCCUUCUGAUUGGUUUUCUCACUCCAGUCACACCAAACACUUAGAGGAUAAUUACUCUGUUAAUCAAUGUCUCUCCUCAAGCCAAAAAGAAAUGCGUGGGCUGGAAGCUCGCUUUUCUAUGAGCUGCCACUGCAAAGGCAAUGAAUGUUUAAGCCACUCUGGAUACCUAGAGCAUGCAGAACUGUUUUUUCUUUCUUUCACCUCUUUAAAAAGACAAAUUUGGAUUUGGCCAAAUAAUUCUAAUCGAAAACCUAAUGUCAGUCUAAGCAGUGAUUAUAUCUUAUAUCUAGAGGUCAGCGGUUAUACAAAUUUCAACCAAGCUAUUAUUGCAUAGAAAGAUCAUUUCCAGGUUAGGAUUUAUUUUCCACUUUUUUUCUGCUCUUUAACUUUAGUGUGUCUCUAUGUUUUAUGCUUUAUCUUCCUAAUACUAGUAGGUUCUCUGAUUUUCUUAUGACUCUCCUCAGCUUGAACAAAAUAUUACUGGUAAUUUUUGUUUGUCUGUCAGUCAGUAAAGGGUUCCUAGCUGAUCAGACUUCUCAGACUGUCUGUAUCAUAAGUGAACGAAUGCAUUCUCCUCUGCUUCUAUAGAUCAGCAGGUCAUAUCUUCCGCAACCUGCGUGUUCUUCUCUUAACAGUGUAUGCCGAUUACUCAAAGCGAUAUGGGUAGGUCCUGGCACCUUAGCGUAGCUUCUGCUGGAUAGAAGGUAACAGUCAGAAAUGCCUGCCAGUGUGUGUUGUGGAGAAAUGGCCAGGAGUCCUGCUUUAUCGCUUUGUAAAGUAUGAAAGUAGAUAAGACUUGAAUAACAUAAAAUAACAUAAUAUAAUGUUAUUUAUGUUAUUUCCCACGUGAAGAACUCCUGUAAACCUUGCAGUAUUGAAACUCAGUGAACAAGGCAUCUUAGCCAAGCUGAAAAACAAAUGGUGGUACGAUAAGGGUGAAUGUGGGACCAAGGACUCUGGAAGUAAGGACAAGACAAGUGCUUUGAGUCUGAGCAAUGUAG